rnacentral:tRNA from 1 species
AAGGCUUUAAGUUAAAUAAACUAAUAGCCUUCAAAGCUAUAAAUAUUAGUAAAAAAUCUAUUAAGUUUUA